GACGAACGCUGGCGGCGUGCCUAAUACAUGCAAGUUGAGCGCUGAAGGUUGGUACUUGUACCCAAUGGAUGAGCAGCGAACGGGUGAGUAACGCGUGGGUAAUCUGCCAUUGAGCGGUGGAGAACAUUUGGAAACGAAUGAUAAUACCGCAUCAAAACAUUAAACACAAGUUUUAAGUUUGAAUGAUGCAAUUGCAUAACUCAUAGAUGGUCCCGCGUUGGAUUAGCUAGGUGGUGAGGGAAAGGCCAACCAAGGCGAUGAUACAUAGCCUGCCUGGGAGGGUGAUCUGCCACAUUGGGAAUGGGAAAAGGGCCAAAAUCCUACGGGAGGCAGCAGGAGGGAAUUAUUGGCAAAGGAGGAAAGGCUUACCGAGGAACGCCGGGGUAGGGAAAAAGGGUCUCGGAUCUUAAAACUCGGUUGGUAGAGAAGGACGUUGGUGAGGGUGGAAAGCUCAUCAAGUGACGGUAACUACACAGAAAGGGACGGCUAACUACGUG
rnacentral:rRNA from 1 species